UGGGGAAUAUUGCACAAUGGGGGAAACCCUGAUGCAGCGUCGCCGCGUGAACGUAGAAGGUAUCCGUAUCGUAAAGUUCUGUCUUAUGGGAAGAUAAUGACAGUACCAUAGAAGAAAGCUCCGGCUAAAUACGUGCCAGCAGCCGCGGUAAUACGUAUGGAGCGAGCGUUGUCCGGAAUUAUUGGGCGUAAAGGGUACGCAGGCGGUUUAAUAAGUCGAAUGUUAAAGAUCGGGGCUCAACCCCGCAAAGCAUUGGAAACUGAUAAGCUUGGGUAGUGGAGAGGAAAGUCGAAUUCCUGGUGUAGUGGUGGAAUACGUAGAUAUUAAGGGGGAUAACAGAAGCGAAAGCGACUUUCUGGACACAAACUGGCGCUGGGGUACGAAAACGUGGGGGACAAACAGG
rnacentral:rRNA from 1 species